UACGUAGGGUGCAAGCGUUGUCCGGAAUUAUUGGGCGUAAAGAGCUCGUAGGCGGUCUGUUGCGUCGGCUGUGGAAACCCGGGGCUCAACUCCGGGCCUGCAGCCGAUACGGGCAGACUAGAGUUCGGCAGGGGAGACUGGAAUUCCUGGUGUAGCGGUGAAAUGCGCAGAUAUCAGGAGGAACACCGGUGGCGAAGGCGGGUCUCUGGGCCGAUACUGACGCUGAGGAGCGAAAGCGUGGGGAGCGAACAGG
rnacentral:rRNA from 1 species